CUACAUCUGCAGCUUUGGGGGGUGUAAACAUUAAAGCAUUGUUAGAUGAUGCAGCCGAUGAAGUAGGAGGAAAGAUUCUGUUGGAUUUUAAUGAUACAAUAGGUGACAGGAUUCAAGUGUAUCUUGAAUAACUGCAUUGCUGUCGAGUUCUCAGAAUUUUGAAAGAAAAUGCUAAACUCUCUACUUCCUAGAUAUUUGAACACUGGGAAUUGGUGUCCUGAAUCCAGGAUUGAUGAUUUGCUCCGGAAAACUGAAGCACGGUACUUAGAAGGAUCCAACCAGUGAACAAACAGCCUAUGACGUAUGAACCAUUAACUUGCCUUGCAGCAUCUAAAUUGAUGCUUAGACCCACUCCCGUCUUCGUUCUUGAAGUUUUAGCUUCCCCAGUUGCCUGAUUUCAGAAAAUUGAAAGAAUGGUGAUUUGAUACACCUAUGGAUACUUACAUCUAUGGAUACUAGCGGGACUAUGCCUGGAAUACGUUGUACAUGUUAUUAAAAUGCUUCAGCACCCACAAGCCGUGACAAAAUUCUCUGUUGUUGAUAUUGUUAAAGGGCAUUAACUACUAAUUAAACUAGAUACUCUUAUGGAGUAAGAAGUAACUAUAAAUAGGAUAAAUUACACCCUUUCUUAUUUGAUCCUUCACAAAAUAAAUUUUUUUGUUUGUGUUU